rnacentral:lncRNA from 1 species
AGAGACAGAGGCAUCUGAGAGGGAGAAAAAGCUGACCGAGAUGGAGGCGGAUGGACAGGAAGAAGAACCUGAACCAGCGUGGCUUUAAAUAGCCACCGGUAGUUAUGAUAUCAUAAAGGAGCAUGAACAGCUCACCUAUUCCUCCACGAGGUCCAAGGCCCCAAGCGUCAUCGUCACGGGCCUCAAGUCCGCCACCACAUACAUAUUUCACAUCCGAGUGAGGACGGCGACAGGCUACAGUGGCUGCAGUCAGAAGUUUGAAUUUGAAACAGGAGAAGAAAAUAAGUUUCACUCAAAGAUGUGCUGCUCAAGUAAAAUGCUCAUUUAGGACUGUUCCAGUUGAUCUGAUAUUAGAAAGCCAGGUGGUCCUAUUUCUAACAGCCCUUCCAAAUUGGGUAUGUUUCCUAUACCUACACAUUCCUAUACAUUCGAGUUACUCUUUAGAUGAUAAUAAAUAACUUCUGAAAUGC